rnacentral:tRNA from 1 species
GCGAUGGCGCGGUCCACGUCCUCUUAAUCAACAGGUUCCGGGUUCAAGUCCCGGUCGGCGCACCA